ACGAAUCCAAAGUUACACACGGAUCUACUGUGAGACUCUUUUCACGUCUCACAAAUUCGUCCGUAAGUGCUGCGUUUAAAUACUAGUGGAAUGCUCGGUCAUUAGAGUUCUUAUCAGCCUUCCCUUCUAAACGUAUUUCCUUCAGUGGGUGUUGCAGGGCUUAAAAAUACUUUCAAAGAAAAUAAAAAGGAUUAUCUGAGAAUAUGGCGUUUACUUUUAAAAGCUAAUAUAUAUAUUAAAAAUAUAUUAUUCUCCGAGACACCGAAUUGAUACAAAAUGCGUAACAGGAACGACCAGUAGGUGGCAGACUGUUUUUUUUUCUCCCGGAAAAAUCAACAGCAGUCAGACUGAGAGUCACGGGAAGAAUGGCGGCCCAUCUCGGUGGUCAGCGCCCCGAAAAUCAACCAGUAUCCCAAUCCUGGAGCUGUUUGUCCAACAGUGAAGACCCCAGACCAGACUUCAGAGUGAACAGGAACUCUCCUGCAGUCUUCCUGAACCUCCUUGAUCAGGAUCGGUGACAUCCGCAUCCUCCUGCAGGUGCUGGAGCUGCACCACACCUCUGUACCUCUUGUUGUCACAGCGUGUGCCAUCCUCCACAUCAUCUGCCUCUGUGUUGACGACACCGAGGAUCCAGAUGAAGAUGAGGAGGUGAUGAGGACGCUGUUUGGAGGUCACCAGCGGUGCUCUCUGGCAGGACCAACUAUCUGCUGAGGUUUCUGCCCUGGGGGAGGUACCACCUUGAUUACUGGUAACAGAUAAUUAAAUAAUCAAGAGAUUUUUUUUUUUUAGAUUUUUUUUUCCAAAGCCUGUAAAUUCAUUAUCUCAUUUUUAUGGAUCAUUUUUGGUCAUGCAGCAUCUGUCCACAGCCAGCCCUGCAAACCCUGAAGAUGGACGAUACAGUCUACAGUGAAGAUGAUCCUGAAACUCUCUGCAGACCACCUUGCAAGAUGUUCAAUCACCACCCAGAAAGUUCCAGCCCGGGUCUCAGUUGAAGCCCCCCCAUCCAUGUCGACUAUCUUUGUAAAUAGUUGGAAAUAAAAGUUACAAUUAA